AACGAACGCUGGCGGCAGGCUUAACACAUGCAAGUCGAACGCACUCUUCGGAGUGAGUGGCAGACGGGUGAGUAACACGUGGGAACCUACCCAAAGGUACGGAAUAACACAGGGAAACUUGUGCUAAUACCGUAUGUGCCCUUCGGGGGAAAGAUUUAUCGCCUUUGGAUGGGCCCGCGUCGGAUUAGCUAGUUGGUGGGGUAAUGGCCUACCAAGGCGACGAUCCGUAGCUGGUCUGAGAGGAUGAUCAGCCACACUGGGACUGAGACACGGCCCAGACUCCUACGGGAGGCAGCAGUGGGGAAUAUUGGACAAUGGGCGCAAGCCUGAUCCAGCCAUGCCGCGUGAGUGAUGAAGGCCUUAGGGUUGUAAAGCUCUUUCAGCUGGGAAGAUAAUGACGGUACCAGCAGAAGAAGCCCCGGCUAACUUCGUGCCAGCCGCCGCCGUAACAC
rnacentral:rRNA from 1 species